GACGAACGCUGGCGGCGUGCCUAACACAUGCAAGUCGAACGGGGUAAUUUCUUCGGAGAUUACUUAGUGGCGAACGGGUGAGUAACGCGUGAGAAACCUGCCUUUCAGUGGGGGACAACAGUUGGAAACGACUGCUAAUACCGCAUAAUGUUAUUUGGGGGCAUCCCCGAAUACCAAAGCUUUANGUGCUGAAAGAUGGUCUCGCGUCUGAUUAGCUAGAUGGCGGGUAACGCCUACCAAGGCGACGAUCAGUAGCCGACCUGAGAGGGUGACCGGCCACAUUGGGACUGAGACACGGCCCAAA
rnacentral:rRNA from 1 species